ACUCUGACAAAACUCGGUUCUACAGUCACAUCUGCUUCCUCAGUGACUGCUCCAGCUCAGACUCACCACAGGAGGAUUCCAACUGAACUUUUAUACUUUGUAUUUCAAAUCCACCCGGAAUAACAGGAAAUGACCACCUCCAAUAUCAGUCUGUCUUCAAUGCUGAAGACUUGGAAUAUUUCCGAAAAAUCACUGCAAGUCAAGGUGUGGCAUGGAGGAACAAAAUUGAAACCUUCGCUGUCACCAGGAAACAGGCAAUAAAAGACUUGUUUGUACACACUGCUUUUGACCUUGUGCAUCAACAGUUCCUUGUAACAGACCUGGGAUGCUGUGGCUUUGAUCCAUCUGAACCUAAAUUAUUUCAACUUGCUUAAGUUGAGUGGACUCAACUAUUACACAUCUGGAUCACACUGAAAAACUGUCAAGGAAAUAUAUUUUACUGCAGUUAAUUAUAUGUGGCACGCCUGUUAUUUUGCUGACUGGCAUUUUGAAAGAUGAGCUGACUGCAACAGCAUAGUUGAACCUCUUGCAGGUCAUCUACUUUCCUGUACUGUACUUAAUGGAAUGACCAGAUAUAUUAAACUCACUUAUGGAAGAGGCAGGUAACCCUGACUGGG